rnacentral:rRNA from 1 species
AUCGAACGCUGGCGGCAGGCCUAACACAUGCAAGUCGGGCGGAGCCGCGGGCGGGUGAGUAAUGUGUAGGAAUCUGCCUGGUAGUGGGGGAUAAAGUUCGGAAACGGGCGCUAAUACCGCAACCUAUCAGAGGAGCCUAGGUCGGAUUAGCUAGUUGGUGGGGUAAAGGCCUACCAAGUCGACGAUCCGCAACUGGUCUGAGAGGAUGAUCAGUCACACUGGAACUGAGACACGGUCCAGACUCCUACGGGAGGCAGCAGUGGGGAAUAUUGGACAAUGGGCGAAAGCCUGAUCCAGCCAUGCCGCGUGUGUGAAGAAGGUCUUCGGAUUGUAAAGCACUUUAAGUUGGGAGGCGUUACCAACAGAAUAAGCACCGGCUAACUUCGUGCCAGCCGCCGCGGUAAUAC